rnacentral:rRNA from 1 species
AUUGAACGCUGGCGGCAGGCCUAACACAUGCAAGUCGAGCGAGCGGCGGACGGGUGAGUAAUGUCUGGGAAACUGCCUGAUGGAGGGGGAUAACUACUGGAAACGGUAGCUAAUACCGCAUACCCUCAGAUGUGCCCAGAUGGGAUUAGCUAGUAGGUGGGGUAACGGCUCACCUAGGCGCCGAUCCCUAGCUGGUCUGAGAGGAUGACCAGACACACUGGCACGGAGCAACGGUCCAGACUCCUGCGUGAGGAAGCAGGGGGGAAUAUUGCACCAUGGGCGCAAGCCUGAUGCAGCCAUGCCGCGUGUGCGAAGAAGGCCUUCGGGUUGUAAAGCACUUGCAGCGGGGAGGCGUUACCCGCAGAAGAAGCACCGGCUAACUCCGUGCCAGCCGCCGCGGUAAUAC